CAGCCACUGGAUGGAUGGAUGGAUGGCGUUGAAACCAGUGUCAGAGUCUGCCCCCUGGCCUUAUUGGAUUUUUGUUGUGGCCACAUUUAUUUACCCUCUUCGAGGCGAUGGUAUUUGGACACACAGUGUAAAUAUGAGAGGGAGAUGUCCAUGUCAUGUCCCAGAACCAUCCCCAGUUGCCACUUCCCCUAGAGCAAUUCCACAGCAGUUGAUUGAAGACAUUACUCAGCGCCCGAC
rnacentral:lncRNA from 1 species